GAGUUUGAUCUUGGCUCAGAUCGAACGCUGGCGGCAGGCUUAACACAUGCAAGUCGAGCGGAGAUGAGGUGCUUGCACCUUAUCUUAGCGGCGGACGGGUGAGUAAUGCUUAGGAAUCUGCCUAUUAGUGGGGACGAACAAUUCCGAAACGGGAAGUGCUAAUAACCGCCAUAACGUCCUACCGGGAGGAAAGACAGGGGAGUC
rnacentral:rRNA from 1 species